rnacentral:rRNA from 1 species
UACAGAGGGUGCAAGCGUUGUUCGGAAUUACUGGGCGUAAAGCGCGUGUAGGCGGUCUGAUAAGUCGGUCGUGAAAGCCCUUGGCUUAACCAAGGAACUGCGAUCGAAACUGCCGGACUAGAGUAUCGGAGGGGGUGGCGGAAUUCCCGGUGUAGAGGUGAAAUUCGUAGAUAUCGGGAGGAACACCUGUGGCGAAGGCGGCCACCUGGAAGAUAACUGACGCUGAGACGCGAAAGCGUGGGGAGCAAACAGG